ensembl:snRNA U1 U1 spliceosomal RNA
UGACUUACCUGGCAGGGGAGAUACCAUGAUCACGUAGGUAGUUUUCCCAGGGUAAGGCUCAUCCAUUGCACUCCAGGUGUGCUGACCCCUGUAAUUUCCCUAAACGCGGGAAACUCAACUGCAUUGUUUGUGGUAGUGGGGGACUGCACUUGCGCUUGCUCCUG